rnacentral:rRNA from 1 species
UACGUAGGGUGCGAGCGUUGCCCGGAUUUAUUGGGCGUAAAGGGCGCGUAGGCGGUCAGCACAAGUCAGUUGUGAAAUCUCCGGGCUUAACUCGGAACGGUCAAGUGAUACUGUCGGACUAGAGUACAGAAGGGGCAACUGGAAUUCUCGGUGUAGCGGUGAAAUGCGUAGAUAUCGAGAGGAACACCUGCGGCGAAGGCGGCAUCCUGGACCAUGACUGACGCUGAGGAGCGAAAGCCAGGGGAGCAAACGGG